UGUGGGAGCUGGCUUGCCUGCGAUAGCGGUGGUGAAUUCACUACAGCCAUCGCAGGCAAGCCAGCUCCCACA
rnacentral:misc_RNA from 1 species